AAAAACGAGAGUUUGAUCCUGGCUCAGGACGAACGCUGGCGGCGUGCCUAAUACAUGCAAGUCGAGCGAGCUGAACCAACAGAUUCACUUCGGUGAUGACGUUGGGAACGCGAGCGGCGGAUGGGUGAGUAACACGUGGGGAACCUGCCCCAUAGUCUGGGAUACCACUUGGAAACAGGUGCUAAUACCGGAUAAGAAAGCAGAUCGCAUGAUCAGCUUAUAAAAGGCGGCGUAAGCUGUCGCUAUGGGAUGGCCCCGCGGUGCAUUAGCUAGUUGGUAGGGUAACGGCCUACCAAGGCAAUGAUGCAUAGCCGAGUUGAGAGACUGAUCGGCCACAUUGGGACUGAGACACGGCCCAAACUCCUACGGGAGGCAGCAGUAGGGAAUCUUCCACAAUGGACGAAAGUCUGAUGGAGCAACGCCGCGUGAGUGAAGAAGGUUUUCGGAUCGUAAAGCUCUGUUGUUGGUGAAGAAGGAUAGAGGUAGUAACUGGCCUUUAUUUGACGGUAAUCAACCAGAAAGUCACGGCUAACUACGUGCCAGCAGCCGCGGUAAUACGUAGGUGGCAAGCGUUGUCCGGAUUUAUUGGGCGUAAAGCGAGCGCAGGCGGUUUCUUAAGUCUGAUGUGAAAGCCCCCGGCUCAACCGGGGAGGGUCAUUGGAAACUGGGAGACUUGAGUGCAGAAGAGGAGAGUGGAACUCCAUGUGUAGCGGUGGAAUGCGUAGAUAUAUGGAAGAACACCAGUGGCGAAGGCGGCUCUCUGGUCUGCAACUGACGCUGAGGCUCGAAAGCAUGGGUAGCGAACAGGAUUAGAUACCCUGGUAGUCCAUGCCGUAAACGAUGAGUGCUAAGUGUUGGGAGGUUUCCGCCUCUCAGUGCUGCAGCUAACGCAUUAAGCACUCCGCCUGGGGAGUACGACCGCAAGGUUGAAACUCAAAGGAAUUGACGGGGGCCCGCACAAGCGGUGGAGCAUGUGGUUUAAUUCGAAGCAACGCGAAGAACCUUACCAGGUCUUGACAUC
rnacentral:rRNA from 1 species